GUACUUUUAUCAAUCUGAUUUAUUUCGUACCUUUCGUUCAAUGACAAAAUGGGCCAAAUUCUACAGGAUCAAACCUAUGGGACUUAAGGAAUGAUAUAAAAAAAAAGAGAGGGAAAAUAUUCAUAUUAAAUAAAUAUGAAGUAGAAGAACCCAGAUUUCAAAUGAACAAAUUCAAACUUGAAAAGGAUCUUCCUUAUUCUUGAAGAAUAAGGGGUA
rnacentral:lncRNA from 1 species